rnacentral:rRNA from 1 species
AGCCAAUAGAUACCCGGGUAGUCCACGCCGUAAACUAUGGAUGCUAGCUGUUAGAGGUAUCGACCCCUCUAGUAGCGAAAGCUAACGCGUUAAGCAUCCCGCCUGUGGAGUACGGUCGCAAGACUAAAACAUAAAGGAAUUGACGGGGACCCGCACAAGCGGUGGAGCGUGUUGUUUAAUUCGAUGGUAAGCGAAGAACCUUACCCAGGCUUGACAUCCUUGGAAUUUUGGCGAAAGCCGAGAGUGCCUUCGGGAACCAAGUGACAGGUGUUGCAUGGCCGUCGUCAGCUCGUGUCGUGAGAUGUUUGGUUAAGUCCAUCAACGAGCGCAACCCUUAUAGUUAGUUGAAUUUUUCUAGCUAGACUGCCCUGGCAACAGGGAGGAAGGAGGGGAUGAUGUCAGGUCAGUAUUACCCUUACGUCUGGGGCUACAAACACGCUACAAUGGCCGGUACAAAGGGCAGCCAAGUCGCGAGACGGAGCAAAUCCCAUCAAAGCCGGUCUAAGUUCGGAUAGCAGGCUGAAACUCGCCUGCUUGAAGCUGGAA